ACGGAAGGCAGCAGUGGGGAAUAUUGGGCAAUGGGGGAAACCCUGACCCAGCAACGCCGCGUGAAGGAAGAAGGCCUUCGGGUUGUAAACUUCUUUUACCAGGGACGAUAAUGACGGUACCUGGAGAAAAAGCAACGGCUAACUACGUGCCAGCAGCCGCGGUAAUACGUAGGUUGCAAGCGUUGUCCGGAUUUACUGGGUGUAAAGGGCGUGUAGGCGGAGCUGCAAGUCAGAUGUGAAAUCCCGGGGCUCAACCCCGGAACUGCAUGUGAAACUGUAGCCCUUGAGGAUCGGAGAGGCAAUCGGAAUUCCUAGUGUAGCGGUGAAAUGCGUAGAUAUUAGGAGGGACACCAGUGGCGAAGGCGGCUUGCUGGACGACAACUGACGCUGAGGCGCGAAAGCGUGGGGAGCAAACAGGAUUAGAUACCCUGGUA
rnacentral:rRNA from 1 species